AUUGAACGCUGGCGGCAGGCCUAACACAUGCAAGUCGAGCGGAUGAAGGGAGCUUGCUCUCUGAUUCAGCGGCGGACGGGUGAGUAAUGCCUAGGAAUCUGCCUGGUAGUGGGGGACAACGUUUCGAAAGGAACGCUAAUACCGCAUACGUCCUACGGGAGAAAGCAGGGGACCUUCGGGCCUUGCGCUAUCAGAUGAGCCUAGGUCGGAUUAGCUAGUUGGUGGGGUAAAGGCUCACCAAGGCGACGAUCCGUAACUGGUCUGAGAGGAUGAUCAGUCACACUGGAACUGAGACACGGUCCAGACUCCUACGGGAGGCAGCAGUGGGGAAUAUUGGACAAUGGGCGAAAGCCUGAUCCAGUCAUGCCGCGUGUGUGAAGAAGGUCUUCGGAUUGUAAAGCACUUUAAGUUGGGAGGAAGGGCAGUAAGUUAAUACCUUGCUGUUUUGACGUUACCGACAGAAUAAGCACCGGCUAACUUCGUGCCAGCCGCCGCCGUAAUAC
rnacentral:rRNA from 1 species